UGGACUUGCUUAAAUUAGUUUGUGUACUUUUUCCUUAGGUUUUGUAUAGGACUAAAUGUCAAAUAAAGCAGCUGAGGCAUGGAAUCAAAGAAACCAAUGUUUGGUCAUUGAUCACGGCACGAGAAGAUGCAAUUAAAGUUGUCUUCCCAAGGGCGUGUGAAGUUCAGUAUGGUCCAGAGGUCAUUCUUCAGCACAUUGCUUGGCCUGUUGCUGAUUCUGAUGACGACGAAAGUUUGCACCCUGAAAUUGUCACUCUCAAAUUACUUUUCUUCGGGAAUAUAUUCAGGAAGCCACCUCAGACCAGCUGCAGAAGCUCAUGUCAUUUUGGACUGGAUGGGAGGUUCCAACAGUCUGCAGGUUAAGGCAUGUAAGUGAAAAUUCUUCAAGGCCUCC